GACGAACGCUGGCGGCGUGCUUAACACAUGCAAGUCGAACGGAAAGGCCCUGCUUUUGUGGGGUGCUCGAGUGGCGAACGGGUGAGUAACACGUGAGUAACCUGCCCUUGACUUUGGGAUAACUUCAGGAAACUGGGGCUAAUACCGGAUAGGAGCUCCUGCUGCAUGGUGGGGGUUGGAAAGUUUCGGCGGUUGGGGAUGGACUCGCGGCUUAUCAGCUUGUUGGUGGGGUAGUGGCUUACCAAGGCUUUGACGGGUAGCCGGCCUGAGAGGGUGGCCGGCGACGUUGGGACUGAGAUGCGGCCCAGACUCCUACGGGAGGCAGCAGUGGGGAAUAUUGCACAAUGGGCGGAAGCCUGAUGCAGCAGCGCCGCGUGCGGGAUGACGGCCUUCGGGUUGUAAACCGCUUUCGCCUGUGACGAAGCGUGAGUGACGGUAAUGGGUAAAGAAUCACCGGCUAACUACGUG
rnacentral:rRNA from 1 species